rnacentral:tRNA from 1 species
GCCUGGGUGGCACAGCGGUUGAGCAUCUGCCUUCGGCUCAGGGAGUGAUCCUGGCGUUGUGGGAUCGAGCCCCACAUCAGGCU